rnacentral:lncRNA from 1 species
AAACCUUAGGGUUGACACCCCAUUUGAGCUUUGGAUCUUCAAACCAAUAGGUUUUAUGUAUAAAAGGGGUUUAAUGCAUAUAUAAACUAUCCCAUAAUUUUUGGAUAAUUAUUUGGAGUUGAAAAAGUAUUUUAUUUAAAUAGAUAUAUUGAAAAUGCAUUUUUAUAUAUUUUAUUUUGAAGAGAAACUACAUCCAAAAGUUGUAUCAUGGUAGAACAUGAUUUUACAAAUUUUCUGGAAUUUAUUUGGACCAAUUUGGAGUUCAAACUCAAAAGAUAUCAAAGAAAUGAGAAAAGCAGAAAAAGAAAAGGCUAAAAGGAAAAAAAAAGGGAGAAACGGACCGGCCCGACCACUUUGGGCCGAACCGGCCCAAUCCCUUGCGCGCGCCGCAGCCCAGCCGGCCCAGCCGCUCCCCCGCAUCCGCUGACAGGUGGGGCCCACCUGUCAGGGGCUUCUUCCUC